AUUGAACGCUGGCGGCAGGCCUAACACAUGCAAGUCGAACGAGUGGCGGACGGGUGAGUAAUGUCUGGGAAACUGCCUGAUGGAGGGGGAUAACUACUGGCAACUGUCGCUAAUACCGCAUACCCUCUGUUUUGCCCAGAUGGGCUUAGCUAGUAGUGGGGGUAAAGGCUCACCUACGCGACGAUCCCUACCUGGACUGAGAGGAUGACCAGCCACACGGGAACUGAGACACGGUCCAGACUCCUACGGGAGGCAGAAGUGGGGAAUAUUGCACAAUGGGCGCAAGCCUGAUACAGACAUGCCGCGUGUAUGAAGAAGGCCUUCGGGUUGUAAAGUACUUUCAGCGGGGAGGCGUUACCCGAAGAAGAAGCACCGGCUAACUCCGUGCCAGCAGCCGCGGUAAUAC
rnacentral:rRNA from 1 species